rnacentral:rRNA from 1 species
UCCGUAGGUGAACCUGCGGAAGGAUCAUUACCGAGUUGAUUCGGGCUCCGUCCCGAUCCUCCCACCCUUUGUAUACCUACCUCUGUUGCUUUGGCGGGCCGCGGUCUUCCGCGGCCGCCCCCCGAUUUUGGGGGGUGGCUAGUGCCCGCCAGAGGACUAUCAAACUCCAGUCAGUAAACGUUGCAGUCUGAAAAAAAAUAUUAAAUAAACUAAAACUUUCAACAACGGAUCUCUUGGUUCUGGCAUCGAUGAAGAACGCAGCGAAAUGCGAUAAGUAAUGUGAAUUGCAGAAUUCAGUGAAUCAUCGAAUCUUUGAACGCACAUUGCGCCCCUUGGUAUUCCGGGGGGCAUGCCUGUUCGAGCGUCAUUUCAACCCUCAAGCUCUGCUUGGUAUUGGGCACCGUCCUUUGCGGGCGCGCCUCAAAGACCUCGGCGGUGGCGUCUUGCCUCAAGCGUAGUAGAAUACACCUCGCUUCGGAGCGUAAGGCGUCGCCCGCCGGACGAACCUUCUGAACUUUUCUCAAGGUUGACCUCGGAUCAGGUAGGGAUACCCGCUGAACUUAAGCAUAUCAAUAGGCGGAGGA